UAUAGGCCUGACAGUAGGUGAAUAGUCAUUCUUUUCCGCCAUAUAGAUGUCAAAUCCCGCCACCCCCGAUAUCUAUAUACGAUUAUAGACGUUGGGGCCCCUUCUAACUGACGUCUAUAGGCCUGACAGGUAGGUGAAUAGUCAUUUUUAUCCGCCAUAUAGACGUCAGAUCCUGCAACCCCCGACGUCUAUAUACAAUUUUAGAUGUCGGCCCCUUGUAACCGAUGUCUAUAAGUUCAAUUAGACGUCAGUUACUAGGGACACCGACGUCUAUAUGCCCACGAAUAUUAAUUUUUAAAUCAUAAAGACAUCAUUUUAAUGAGGGCCCCAACGCCUAUACUAUUAAAGACGUCAGUCCCCCCC
rnacentral:lncRNA from 1 species